rnacentral:lncRNA from 1 species
CCUAGCUGAGAAGACGUGGUCCCAGAGUUCAGAAUCCAGGGGAGGUUACACGUGUGCUGGGCAUCCCUACAACACGUGGUGUUGACAGGAAUUCCUGGAGACUAGUGUGCGAUAAUGCUUUAAUCACACCCCCACCCCCACCCCCACCCCCCGAAGCUUUUUGGCUCAUAUGCUCAGAAUUCUCUGGAGCAUCUGCUUUCCUUCUGCAUCUAAUACAGGAGAUGGAUGGGGUGGGGCGGGAGGGAGCAGGGACUGUGCUACAAGAAUGUGGAAGGAUACACAUACCUGACAAGAGAGAGAAAGGCCGUCUGUCUUCCUUAGGGAACUUGGGUCUGGUAUUGGACAUGUUCCAUUUGCUCUGCCGGAGGGUCUGAGAUUCCAGCAAGUCUCUAUCCCUCUGCGUGGUUUGGGGUCCUUGCUAGGUGGCUUUGGGGGGGAACCCAUAUCUUGUUUACCUUUAUGAUUUGUGAGAGACUGGAGCUGGGCUUUCUUGGGCUGGAAGAGACCACAGGAGCUCCCCGGCCUGAAGACCCUACCCACUGGCCUGUAGCCUCAGGAACGGACAGAGUCAGUUGUUGGAGGUUUUCCAGGCCCUUGAUCAUGCUCUGCAAGGAGCAUUGAUUCUACUCUAAUCUCCGGCACACGUUGUUCUGCGACCUUUGCAAAGCAUCUCUCUGUGUGUUUAUAUCCUCAUGGGUGAACUGGUUUCCGGAUCUGAAGAGCCAGAGUGCCCUGCAGAUUUACUUCGGAACAUUGUUUAAGUGCGAUGUCAAUAAGAACAUCGAGCUUUCUCGGGAGAGAGCCCUUUGAAGGAGAAUAAUUGAUGGAUGGAACUCCAUGACCUCUCUGCAAAACUGAAAUAGGAAUAGAAAAGGCCAUUGCCCAAUUCUGGGAAUGUGGCCGAGGGUGGCAGUGAACCCCCUUGUCCCCGCUAGGUUACUGCAGACUGUGGAAGACCAUGUGGUCUGAACCAGCUCCACACAGUGGGUUCUCUCUCCUGGAAGACGUGAUGUAGUGUUUUAGAGAAUAACCCUUUUAGUUUGUUGGUGCUGAUAUAGCCAAGUACCACAGGCUGGCUGGUGUCAACACAGAUGUUCUGGUCACACAGUUCACAAGGCAGGAGGUCUGAGGUCACGACCUGAAAGGGGCUGGUUCCAUCUCAGGACAUGAGGAAGAAUUUGCCCCGUGCUUCUCUCCUAGCUUCUGGGGGGCUGGCGGGCCCUGGCUUGUAGAGGCAGCGCCCUGAUUUCUGCCUUUAUCAUGACAUGAGGUGCACGGGUCUGUGUCCCCAGGUUCCCUUUAUGAGAACACCCAUCUUGUUGGACCUCAUGACCUCAUGACCUCUUUUUAACCUAAUGAUCUCUCCUCUGUAAAGACUCCAUCUCCACAUAAGGUCACACAUGGUCUGAGGUCUUGGGGGUGGUGGCGAGGAAUUCAGCAUGUACAUUUUGGGGUGGAGAAAAGUAAAUCCUUAACAAAUUCUGUGCAAGAGAAGUAUUGAUACGCGUAUCCUCCUGUUAUUCUUAUGUACAUGUAGCAGCUUUGGUUGAGCAACCUGCUUUUGUUUGGGGGGAGAGAUGUGCGCCGAUCUCACUUUUCUGUAAUUGCUGCCCUUUGUGUUCUCUCAAAUGUUUGUUCCCCUCUGGUUCCUGGUUACUUCAGCAGACCCUGCUCUCCUUCUAGAACAUUCCAUUUCCUAAUACAGCCUCAUUUGGUUAUUGGGGUUCUGAGCACUUCUUCCCCCAGGGUUUGUUUCCUGUCAUGUGCUGGCUAUGGCAGAUGCCCUUCACUCCCAAAUGAAACACCUAAAGAACUGACUUCAAAUAAUUCCCAUUUUUUUUUUUCAAGGGCGCUACUGAGAUGGAAUGAAGGCAAGAACUCAUUAGAGAUUUCUUUUUAAAAGAUAGUUUUUUUGGGGGGAUAAUUUUAUUUAAUUUUUAUUUUGGGAUAGUUUUGGAUUUAUAGAAAAGUUGGGGAGAUAACACACAGUUUCAGUUUUCCCUAAGGUUAUCCUCUUACAUGAUGGUGCAUUUGUCAAAACUGAGUUAAUAAGGUUGGUACGUUACUAUUAGCUAAACUCUGGGCUUUACACAGAGUUCACCAGUUUUUCCCAUUCCAGAAUCCAGCCCAGGAACCACAGAGCAUUCGGGUGUCACAACCCAUUUGUUUCCUCUGAUCUGGAACGUUUCUCUGUCCGGUUUUGUCUUUCCUGGUCUUGACCGUUGUAAAGAGUCCUGGCCAGCCAUUUUGUAGAAUGCCCUUCAGCUUGCAUUUGUCUGAUGAUCUCCCUCAGGUUAUAAAGUUUUAAUGAAAGUAAAAGAAGUGACCCUAGGAAAUAGGCGAGUACCAAAUCUCUCCAGGACUUAACUACCAAACCUUGACAACCUGAGCUCUUGAGGCUUUCACGGCCUCGCAGGGUGUGUGGGGCAGGACAUAAAACCUAGGGCUUAGUCAAGGUGAGGAAUAUCAUAGAAAAACACUGUCAACCCCCCCUGCCUUCCCCCUCCCUGACAAGCUGGGAGCCUGUUAGAUUAAUGAGGAAUAAACUGCUAGAUUAAUGAAAGAUAAACGCCACCACACAGAAACAGGCAGCUAGAAACCUUCUGUCACAACCCUCGGGGCUGGGGGGGUAAGACCCAGCUCCUGGGAUCCCCCAAGAACCUGAACUAUAAGCCAACCCUCAUGUGAGUUUUCAGUCUGAACUCACACUGUAUUCGUGGGCUGAAAAAAAAAAUGUAAUGUGAAGAAAUCCUGUGUUAGAAUCACCACGAGGUAUAUUUCCUAUUAUAUUUAGCAUUUAUAUAGUAUUUGUGAUAUGCAUUAUAGUCUAGCUAUAAAUAGCUAUCUGUUGGAACUUUUAAAAUGAUAAAGCAGACUGAAGAAAUUGAGAAGUUGCGAACCAGAAGACUGACCUAAACCAAUCACUCAGUCUGUAGUCCUGUGAGACAAAGAUUUGGAAAAUGUGAAAGGAAGGUAAAGAGAAAAUAAGAAUAGAACGAGGAUCUCUGCCAGAGUGGUCCAGUAGACUCUUCUGUGUUGAUGGAAAUGUCCUAAAUAGCCACCCAUGGCUAGAGACCGCUGGACAUCACACGUUUGACUUCUGUCUGGUCAAUGUUCCAGAAGGGGAUAAUUAGAAUGAGGAAGAAGCAGUAUCCAAAGAGAUCAUGGCUGGGAACUUUCUAGAAUUAUUGAAAGACGCCAGUAUUUAUUCUAGCAAAUCGCCCAGUCUAAGCAAGAUAAAUACAAAGAAGGAGAUACCAUGACCCACCAAAGGCAAACUGCAAAAUGCCGAGAAGAAGGUUUUUACAACGCUGCCAGUGAGAAAAGCCAGAUUAUCUACAAAGGACUGAUGAUUAGACAUAUAGCCAUUUUUCAUCAGCAUUGGUGGAAAUUGCCAAAGGAUCCGUCUCUUCGCUCUGCUUAGAGAAAACUCGUCAACUUACCAUACUUGGCUGCAAAACUACCUUUUCAGAAUGAGGCUGAAAUAAAGAUAUUUACAGAUAAACUACAUCUAAAGGAGUUUACCGUGGAAAGACUGCUACCCAGGAAAAUUCUGAAAGAUGAUUUUGGGCAGAGGGAAAAUCAUUCAAGGUGGAAGGUCUGAGCUACAAGUAGGAAUGAUGAGCAAAGAUGCAGUUCAAUCCAAAUAAAACUGUUUAAAACUAUAAAAAUAAUGUCUAGUUUGUGUGGAUAUCUAGGCUAGAGAAGCUAAUGUAUUACAGAACAACCACGUGUGAAAUGGGAGAGCCUUGAUCACAGUUAAAGAGAUAUAAGGUCCCUGUCUUAUUUAAAAGAAAAGGUAAACACUAAAGAAUAAACCAAAACCUUUAGAUCUCAAACAGCUAGAGACUCAGAUUGGAAUAGAAAAGGAAAUAAAUAAUACACCAGCCAAAAGAAGGGAUGCAGAAGAGUUGAUCAGCACAAUUAGCAACCUGAUCAAAUGGACCUACAAAGAGCAUGGCACCCAGCUCUAGGAGAAAAUAACUCAUUUUUCAAAAAACAAAAUAGUAAUGCAAAUCGCUCAAGUAGCUGGGCCAUAAAACUGGACUUCAAAAGAUUGUAUUCACCCAUAUUGUGGUCUCGAACCACUAGUAAAUUAAUUUAGAAAUAAUAUGUUAAGGAGUUCCCAUCGUGGCUCGGCAGAAACGAACCCGACUAGUGUCCAUGAGGAUGCGGGUUUGAAAUCUGGCCUCACUCAGUGGGUUAAGGAUCCAGCGUUACCUUAAGCUGUGGUAUAGGUCAUUAGGUGUGGCUGGGAUCCCAUGUUGCUGUGGCUGUGUUGUAGGCCAGCAGCCGCAGCUCUGAUUCUACCCCUAGCCUGGGAACCCUAUGCUGUGCCUGUAACCUUAAAAAGAGAAAAGAAA